GGCGGCAGGCUUAACACAUGCAAGUCGAGCGGGCACUUUCGGGUGUCAGCGGCGGACGGGUGAGUAACGCGUGGGAACGUGCCUUCUGGUUCGGAAUAACUCAGGGAAACUUGAGCUAAUACCGGAUACGCCCUUUUGGGGAAAGGUUUACUGCCGGAAGAUCGGCCCGCGUCUGAUUAGCUAGUUGGUGGGGUAACGGCCCACCAAGGCGACGAUCAGUAGCUGGUCUGAGAGGAUGAUCAGCCACACUGGGACUGAGACACGGCCCAGACUCCUACGGGAGGCAGCAGUGGGGAAUAUUGGACAAUGGGCGCAAGCCUGAUCCAGCCAUGCCGCGUGAGUGAUGAAGGCCUUAGGGUUGUAAAGCUCUUUUAUCCGGGACGAUAAUGACGGUACCGGAGGAAUAAGCCCCGGCUAACUUCGUGCCAGCAGCCGCGGUAAUACGAAGGGGGCUAGCGUUGUUCGGAAUCACUGGGCGUAAAGGGUGCGCAGGCGGGUUCAUAAGUCAGGGGUGAAAUCCCGAGGCUCAACCUCGGAACUGCCUUUGAUACUGUGGAUCUUGAGUCCGGAAGAGGUGAGUGGAACUG
rnacentral:rRNA from 1 species